ACUACAAGUAGCACAAUACAAGAGAAUACAGAAGUACACAAUGGAAAGGACAUUUUAGAAAAAAGAGAAAACAAAAAAACAAACUCUGAGAAAGUUAAACAACCUGGAUUGGCAUCAUUUGAGGAACAAUCCAGACCUGGAACAAGUGAGGAACAAUCCAGGCGUGAUAAAGAAUGUUGAACACAUAGUAUGUGGCGAAAACUGCAGCAAGCCCUGGGAUGAAGGUUUUUUGGAUGCCUUCACAGAUGACCUGGCUUUCGAUGCUGAUCAUCCAAUGUCCCAAUUUGACUCCAUCACCAGCAACUGAUGCAGACAACAGUUAUGGAAAAUAAAUAUGGGUAUAAGGGCCUUAUAUGAGGAUAAGAAGUUCACAGAAAAAGCCACCUCUUAUAGAUUGUUUUAUCUUUUUAACUGUAAUGUUUUGUGCAACUUGAUGUGUUUGUGUGGCAUUAAAGCUAUUUUUUGUUGUUUAACUGGUGUUUUAGGUCAAUACACACACAUUGAACUGUAGAGCUAAUAGGAAAG